UACAGAGGUCCCAAGCGUUGUUCGGAUUCAUUGGGCGUAAAGGGUGCGUAGGUGGCGCCGUAAGUGGGGUGUGAAAUUUCGGAGCUUAACUCCGAAACUGCAUUCCAUACUGCGGUGCUUGAGGACUGGAGAGGAGACUGGGAAUUCAUGGUGUAGCAGUGAAAUGCGUAGAGAUCAUGAGGAAGACCAGUGGCGAAGGCGGGCUCUGGACAGUUCCUGACAUGAGGCACGAAGGCCAGGGGAGCGAACGGG
rnacentral:rRNA from 1 species